UACAGGAGAGAUGACCAUCAGUAGAGUCUCAAUGUCAGAUGAAGGUUUCUACCACUGUACACACCCAGAGAGAGGAGAGUCACUGAAAAGCUGGGUUUCAGUCGGAGUGAGGAAACCAGUUUCAGCUUCACGAUCCACUGGUGUAAUUAUAGGACUGAGUUUGUUCUUAAUGUUUGUCAUCUUAAUGAUCUUACUGAUACUGCUGCUUCGCUACAAGAGGAAAAAAGGUGCAGAAUGUCAGACUCCUUCUACUAUAAAUCAUGAC